UACGUAGGGUGCGAGCGUUAAUCGGAAUUACUGGGCGUAAAGCGUGCGCAGGCGGUUUCUCAAGUCAGAUGUGAAAGCCCCGGGCUCAACCUGGGAAUUGCAUUUGAAACUACGAGGCUAGAGUGUGUCAGAGGGGGGUAGAAUUCCACGUGUAGCAGUGAAAUGCGUAGAGAUGUGGAGGAAUACCGAUGGCGAAGGCAGCCCCCUGGGAUAAAACUGACGCUCAUGCACGAAAGCGUGGGGAGCAAACAGG
rnacentral:rRNA from 1 species